rnacentral:lncRNA from 1 species
CAAAAUUGGUUUGUGUGUUUUGGUAAGCCAGUUUUCCUGCAGAGAAGCAAGUUGCGUGCAUUAUAUGCAAAUUUGUCAAUUAUUUUUGUAUUUUCUUUUAUUAUUUGAAUUUUGAACUUCUUUUUUUUCGUGUAACCCACAUAAAUCUCUUUAUUUGGACAUUUUCGAUGAUAAAUUUUGUAUUUAUAUCCGCCAUUAACUCUUUUAGAUUACAC